UUUUUUUUUUCUUUUUGUUUUGUUUCUUUUUGACCCUCCAGUCUCUGUGAAAAUCUGAGAUCUGUACUUGUCAUGGUUUUUUGUGUCCUGUUAUUCUGUACAAGGCUUUUAUGCCUUCCUUUGGCUGCACAUGUAUGUCUCUGCUUUUCCCCUAAACAUGACGGAGGUGUCGAGCCGUGGCGUUGGAUGUGCUGACCACCACCAGGUCCUGGGAGGAUCUGAUGCUGCCCCUCUUCGAUGAGCUGCUCCUCCAUCCAGACUGGGAAGUUUUUAAGAGUCACCGUCAAGCUGAAGGUUUCUGAAGUUCUCUUUUAAUGAUUUUGAGAAACUUUUCAAAGUUCUUGUAGUUGUUUUCACCGAGGUCCAAACACUCCAGCUUUUCUGGGGGUUUGUAGAUGCCCAAGAGAAAUUUGAUUUUAAAUCUGUCUGUUGAAUCCUUUAAGUCUGUUUCCAAUGUAGUGACCCAUCUUUCUGCUUCUCCAAAAUCUAUCUUGUGUUGUUACAGUCUACAUCCAAGAAGACCCUGGCAGACCCAGACAGAGACGUCAAUGACCCCCUCUUGCUCCAGGACCCGGCUGAAGAAUGAAGACAAAGACUUGGUCCCCUGAUUGGAGGUAAGUCAAUCUUUGCAAGUGGUCUUGCUUGUUUCAGUCAAAGUUUUAUGGUGAUAAAUUGAUGUUAACAGUCCACUAACUUGAUCUGAUCCCUGUCUGCCUUCUGUAGUCACCACCCAGCAGGCAGACUUCCUGUCUCACUGUGAGCCCGUAGACCUUCAACCUCAUCCAGAAAACCCUUACUCAGGACAUGGUGAGUGCGCCUUUCUCUUUCAGGCUCUACUUUGAGGAGCACACAUGAGCAGCUUUCUUAAAUCCUUCUAACAGAUGAGUCCGUUAAGAUGAUGAUGAUAGUUGGAUGUUUUUACUCGAUGGGCACAGAUAAACCUCCACAACCCAUGAAGAGUGCAAGCUUUGCUAUGUCACUGUCACUUUAUAGAUCUCCUCCACCUUUAUAUCGCUGACAUUAUCAGUAUUAUUGACAUUAUAAGAUUAUCACUGAGACCUUUUCUGACUGAUAGAAAACUAAAUGAAAACGAGGCAGAAUAUUCACUCAUGACAGUUUUCUUCAUUUACAGGAGGAUACUCGAGUCUCGACUGAGGACCCAGUGAUGAAGAUGGAUGACCUGUCUGUGACACAAGGGUCAUAGAGGAUAGUUCUGUACUGAUGAAUCUAUUAUAAAUUAUUCAUCUGUUUGACCAGAUGAUGUGUUGUUAAACUUGCUAACAUUUGAGUUUCUUUAAUGCAAACCUGUAAAAUCUACAGCUAGCAGAGUCUUCUUUCAAUUGUAACCAGGUGGUUUUUGUGUUGCACUGAAUUUGAUUUCUCAUUAUAUUUGUAAAACUAAAUGUUUAAUCUGAGCUUCAUUUAUGGCUUAAACUUUGUUAAAUGGAGGCUGAAACUGUGACAGCAUGUAGAGAGCUUUUUGUCCACUGGGGUUUUUUUUCCUUGAAUAUUUUUUCCCAGCUGGUUUUUCAUCUCUACCUCCACCAAACUCACUCUGUACACAAAGCUUGUCUUAAAUGUCAUCUUUUUGGAUGCACAUUUUCUAUUUUGCUCAUAUUGCUUUGUCUUUAUUUUGUUCAUUUUUCUGUCAUGCUUUAUUCCUCUCUCUGCU
rnacentral:lncRNA from 1 species